rnacentral:sRNA from 1 species
GCUUAAACCCGACAGAAACGGAAAUACUUUUUGUUGCACCGCUCCCAAACUUAGCUGUAAUGCUGAGGCACAAAAAGAUUGAAGUGAAUGGCGGGAGUACAG